CUCCUCCGUCCAAACAUUGUUAAAAAAACAAUUUUCCUUAUCCAUCUCUUCCCCCCUCCCCCGAUUCCUUUCCUACCAGGGCUCCAUAACCACGAUGCCGCGUGCACCGCUGCCGUCGCCUCCUAUGAUUUGGGCGAGCUCCGGCGCUCUCCCGCGGCAUAGCUCGCCGGCCCUGCUCCCCUUAGUGCUCCCGCCGAUCCUCCACCACCGCGACGUCCUUAACACCCUGCUCGUGCCCCUGCAUCAACCUAGUCACCACGGGUCGUGGUCGCAGCUGCUGCCCCUCCGGUUGGUCGGCUCACUACCCCCGCAUCUUCGGACGCGCGAUCACUGCCACAGGCUGGAUGGCGCUGUUCCACCACAUCUACCUCGUCUCUGGCGCCGGUAGUUUAGUGAAACACUUCUCCCCUAUUUUAUUAUCCUCUCUGGUGCUUUAUGUGGCAUGGAUACCAAGGGUUUGUCGUCGUGGCGUCGUAGAUGAUGGCUGGAUAUACCAAUAACUACGGCCGCUCUCUCCCAGGGAGGUUGCCAUGGUCGCCUACUGCCUACCUCAUCGCUCACCUGGAUUAUCUCCAUGAAGAACGUGACAAUCCUAUUAUUUCCACUAAUAUGUUCCCCCCGAUUUAACAACAGGGUGGCUUCUAUAAUUCCAUUGGAAUUUGGUUCCCUAUCUUCUCUAACCUUCCACUCGUGCUAUGGGUGGACCAUUUACUUUAGUUAAAUUAUGGCUAGUGUUCUCUUCUUUUUGUUGUUGAAGGAAACCUGAUCCUCUAAUUUUGCUAUGCAGGUUUCUGCUGGUGAUCUUCUGCUUUAGUAGUUCAAACCAUAGUCGUAUUUGUAUAUCCAUAUGUACUUAUUUCUCUAGAUGUAUAUCAUACUCUAGAGUGCUAGAUUACACUGCAGAACAAAGCAAGUAUUUUGCCUCGGAUGACUAUUGUCCACCAAUCUUGUUUAUAUCAAUGCUUGCAUCCUCUGAGGCUUAUCAGUAGAGAAUCUAGUUUUCCAUGGAAACAAGGGUGAUCACGCAUUAUUUAUUCACUCAUGUUACUAAAGCUUCUGUCGUCAAGAAGGCAGUAAUAUUCCAAGUGCAUAACUACUUCUUAUUCAGUAAUAUUAAGCAUGAUUAUACAGACCUACAUAUUAAAAAGGUAUAUGAAUCAUAGUCUAGACAUCUCACACUUGCUAGCAUGCGUAAGUGUGUAUGUAAAUUUGAUCGAUUUGAUGGUUUUGUUUAACUUUAGGUACUUCUAAAUUCUCAUAUGUUUGUAUUUAUUCGCAUAUUAUGAUGAACUGCAAUCUUUUUUAGAUCAGAAGGAUGCAUCACAACAAAAAAUGCUUCACGAGACUUCUUUUAUUCUCACCAGUAAUCAGAUUGCGCAUUUGAUGAGUGCUGCAAGCUGGGAAGGUAAAUAUGACCAGAGAUGAUGGCAGUACGUCAAUGACGUCAUGUAGGAUAAUUAACUGUAACAACUACUCUGUGCCUAUGGCUAUGCUCUGACUUCGGAAGUGCAAACCAAUAAAAAGAGAGAUGAAGCAUAUGCAGUUUACUAUAGCUGCAAUUGGCAUGAACUAUCUUUAGGAUAUGGAGUUAUGGAUGCCAGGAGAAACUGAUGAUUUUGGUUUUAGUUAAUGAAAGCUGAACAUGUCAGUCUAGAUGCUCAUGUGAUGAGCUUAGUUAUUUUUCUUUCCUUCAAGGAAGCUUCGACCUGUUUCUGUAUAGAGUGCACAUGUUUUUGUAAAACACAUGUGUACAAGCUGAUAGCGUUCUUUGUAAAGCAACAAUGUGUUCUUUGUAAAACAACAUUGUUGAUUUAAUAUA